AUCCAGCUGAAGAGUCCCAAAUACGAUGAAACGCGUGUGUUCCUGGAU
rnacentral:hammerhead_ribozyme from 1 species